CCCGCUGAACUUAAGCAUAUCAAUAAGCGGAGGAAAAGAAACUAACAAGGAUUCCCCUAGUAACGGCGAGUGAAGCGGGAAGAGCUCAAAUUUGUAAUCUGGCGGUCUCCGGCCGUCCGAGUUGUAGUCUGGAGAAGCGUCUUCCGCGCCGGACCGUGUACAAGUCCCUUGGAACAGGGCGUCGUAGAGGGUGAGAAUCCCGUCUUUGACACGGACUACCGGUGCUUUGUGAUGCGCUCUCAAAGAGUUGAGUUGUUUGGGAAUGCAGCUCAAAAUGGGUGGUAAAUUCCAUCUAAAGCUAAAUAUUGAGGAGAGACCGAUAGCGAACAAGUACCGUGAGGGAAAGAUGAAAAGAACUUUGGAAAGAGAGUUAAACAGUACGUGAAAUUGCUGAAAGGGAAACGCUUGAAGUCAGUCGCGUCGUUCAGGACUCAGCCUUGCUUUGCUUGGUGUACUUCCUGUUCGACGGGUCAGCAUCAAUUUUGGUCGGUGGAUAAAGGCUUAGAGAAUGUGGCAUCUUCGGGUGUGUUAUAGCUCUGGGUCGCAUACAUCGGCUGGGAUUGAGGAACUCAGCACGCCGCAAGGCCGGGUACUUGUACCACGUACGUGCUUAGGAUGCUGGCAUAAUGGCUUUAAUCGACCCGUCUUGAAACACGG
rnacentral:rRNA from 1 species